rnacentral:rRNA from 1 species
GACGAACGCUGGCGGCGUGCUUAACACAUGCAAGUCGAGCGGAAAGGCCUGCUUUCCCUUGUGGAUUGCGGGUACUCGAGUGGCGAACGGGUGAGUAACACGUGAGUGAUCUGCCCCCAACUUGGGUAUAAGCCUGGGAAACUGGGUCUAAUUCCCGAUAGGACUGCAGGGUGGUGCCUGUGGUGGAAAACGAUUUUCUAGUGGUUGGGGAUGAGCUCACGGCCUAUCAGCUUGUUGGUGGGGUAAUGGCCUACCAAGGCGGCGACGGGUAGCCGGCCUGGGAGGGUGGACGGCCACAUUGGGACUGAGAUACGGCCCAGACUCCUACGGGAGGCAGCAGUGGGGAAUAUUGCACAAUGGGCGGAAGCCUGAUGCAGCGACGCCGCGUGGGGGAUGACGGCCUUCGGGUUGUAAACUCCUUUCGACCGCGAGGAAGCCACCUGGUUGGAAGGGUGGUGACGGUAGUGGUAGAAGAAGCACCGGCUAACUACGUG